GAUGUCCCAUGAUUCAUUGGAAGAAAAAGGGUAUCCAAUGCUCUUCGCCUCUGCAUUUCUAAGUUAGAUGUACCACAGAAAGGAGCUGCAUUGCUCAUACUGCUUUCUUGAUGUCUUGAAUGUCAAAGAAACUUUGGGCUAUAGAAAACUCUUGUUCCAAGGGUACAUCUGUAUCAAAAAUCACCUCCAACCUACAAGCCUGAAGUUGGUGGGAGGAUAGGCCGAACACAAGUCAACCAAAGAGAAAAACAUGCAAGAACCUAAAGAAUCAUGGAAGCAACCUAUUAAAUAUCAUCUCCAUACAUGAAAAAGUUCUUCCCCAAAAUAGCUUAUUAGACAUUACUUGUUGAUUAUAUAACCUGUCUGUUAUAUGAGAGCUGUUGUAUGUAAUAAAAAUGAAUU